rnacentral:sRNA from 2 species
CCAGGAGCUGGUGGGUCCGGGGCCCCCUGGGCGGGGGUCCCGGGGCGCCCCUCCUCCCUUGGGACCCGUUGUCCCGGUCCUGGUCUUUCCCCCGGAUCUAGUAUUCAGGGCGGACCAGCGGAGCGGACCCCGACAGCUGCUGACCCUCUAUAACCCCACAGGAACUGCGCUUCGCUUCCGAGUCCUGUGCACAGCACCUGCCAAAUACACGGUGUUUGACGCAGAGGGAUAUGUGAAGCCCCAGUCUUGCAUUGACAUUGUGAUUCGCCAUGUGGCACCCAUUCCCAGCCACUAUGAUGUCCAGGACCGCUUCCGCAUUGAGCUGUCUGAGGAAGGAGCUGAGGGCCGAGUGGUGGGACGCAAGGACAUUACCUCCGUUCUGAGAGCCCCAGCGUACCCCCUUGAGCUUCAGGGACAGCCAGAUCCAGCGCCUCACCCAGGGCCUCCUGCUGGGACACCACCACCCACGACCAGACACUUCCAGGAGCGUGAGUUGGGAGACUGGGAUCUUGAGUUCUGUAGGGAGGGAGGAACUAGCAUUUCCCUAGAGAUGAGAUAAAUUGGAUUUGAA